GAUGAACGCUGGCGGCGUGCCUAACACAUGCAAGUCGAGCGAACGGACGAGAAGCUUGCUUCUCUGAUGUUAUCGGCGGACGGGUGAGUAAUACGUGGAUAAUCUACCUAUAACACCGGGAUAACUUCGGGAACCCGGAGCUAAUACCGGAUGAUAUUUUGAACCGCAUGGUUCAAAAGUGAAAGACGGUCUUGCUGUCACUUAUAGAUGGAUCCGCGCCGCAUUAGCUAGUUGGUAAGGUAACGGCUUACCAAGGCAACGAUGCAUAGCCGACCUGAGAGGGUGAGCGGCCACACUGGAUCUGAGAGACGGUCCAGACUCCUACGGGAGGCAGCGGUGGGGAGUCUACCGCAAUGGGCGAGAGCCUGACGUGGCGACGCGGCGUGGGUGAUGAGGGGCUUCGGGUCGUGAAACUCUGUUCUUAGGGAAGAGCAGAUGUGUAAGGAACGGUGGAGAUCUGAACGGUGCCGAAGCAGAAGGCCCCGCCUAACUCCGU
rnacentral:rRNA from 1 species